rnacentral:rRNA from 1 species
CCUACGGGUGGCAGCAGUGGGGAAUAUUGGACAAUGGGCGAAAGCCUGAUCCAGCCAUGCCGCGUGUGUGAAGAAGGCCUUCGGGUUGUAAAGCACUUUCAGUGGGGAAGAAAGCCUUGGGGCUAAUACCCUCGAGGAAGGACAUCACCCACAGAAGAAGCACCGGCUAACUCCGUGCCAGCAGCCGCGGUAAUACGGAGGGUGCGAGCGUUAAUCGGAAUUACUGGGCGUAAAGCGCGCGUAGGCGGUCUGAUAAGCCGGUUGUGAAAGCCCCGGGCUCAACCUGGGAACGGCAUCCGGACCUGUCAGGCUAGAGUGCAGGAGAGGAAGGUAGAAUUCCCGGUGUAGCGGUGAAAUGCGUAGAGAUCGGGAGGAAUACCAGUGGCGAAGGCGGCCUUCUGGACUGACACUGACGCUGAGGUGCGAAAGCGUGGGUAGCAAACAGGAUUAGAUACCCUGGUAGUC